GAUGAACGCUAGCGGCAGGCUUAACACAUGCAAGUCGAGGGGUAGUCUAGCAAUAGAUGAGACCGGCGCACGGGUGCGUAACGCGUAUGCAACCUACCUUUUACAGCGGGAUAGCCCAGAGAAAUUUUGAUUAAUACCUCAUAGUAUCUGUCUUUAGCAUGUUAGACAUAUUAAAGUUCCAACGGUAAAAGAGGGGCAUGCGUCCUAUUAGCUAGAUGGUAAGGUAAAGGCUUACAAUGGCAACGAUAGGUAGGGGUCCUGCGAGGGAGAUCCCCCACACUGGUACUGAGACACAGGACAGACUCCUACGGGAGGCAGCAGAGAGGAAUAUUGGACAAUGGGCGCAAGCCUGAUCCAGCCAUGCCGCGUGCAGGAAGACGGUCCUAUGGAUUGUAAACUGCUUUUGUACGGGAAGAAACACCCCUUCGUGAAGGGACUUGACGGUACCGUAAGAAUAAGGAUCGGCUAACUCCGUGCCAGCCGCCGCAGUAAAAC
rnacentral:rRNA from 1 species